AGAGAGAGAGAGAGAGAGGAGUAGCUGUGUAAGCCGUGUAGGUCUCUGUUAAAGCUAGUAGGCAUUCUUGCAGAUGUAUUGCUGUUUUAAGUUUCUCUCCUUCCCCUAUUCCUAUUCAAGCUUUUGCUUCUAAUAUUUUUAGUUCUGAGUAUGACCUUGUAACAGUUUGAUAACAGCAUCUGUCAGAGAGGAAAUGAAGGCAUGGCUAGCAAGUGUGCUAUAUAUUCAACAUCAGAGAACAACCCAAUUUGUUACUCUUCCUCAUCUGCUUCCUCUUCCUCUUCUUCUCUUUGUUCUUCUGCUGGGAUGGUUCUUGCUGACAUUGGUUCUCUUUCUCUUAGUCCUAACUAUGGGGUGAUACCGCCUGCUUCUUCCUCUCAUGAGAUGGAAAUUGGAAGAGCUUCUUGGGUUUUUCCUUUCAUGGGGAGCCAUCAGAGUAGUGAUGUUGUUAUGGAGGGUAAAGGUUCUGAUUGUAGUGAUGCGUUUGGAGAAAACAAUGACACUGUAAAUCAAAAUGCCAACUCAACUGAGAACCCUAAUAAUGAAAAUAUGAACAGUGGGAAGGAAACAGAUAGUGGACAGUCAAAGCUCUGUGCAAGGGGCCAUUGGAGACCUGCAGAAGAUACCAAGCUUAAAGAACUCGUAGCCCUUUAUGGCCCUCAAAACUGGAACCUUAUAGCUGAGAAGUUAGAGGGCAGAUCAGGUAAAAGAACUGAAAUAAAUUCAUUAAUUUGUUUCUAUUUUCUGUUUGUCCUUGCUUUUGUGUUUUUUACUAUUGUCAUGAGGCAUUUGUUUGAAGGUAAGAGUUGCAGAUUGAGAUGGUUUAACCAGUUGGAUCCAAGGAUAAAUAGAAGAGCUUUCACAGAAGAAGAAGAAGAGAGGUUAAUGCAAGCUCAUAGACUUUAUGGCAACAAAUGGGCCAUGAUAGCCAGACUUUUCCCUGGAAGGACUGACAAUGCAGUGAAGAAUCAUUGGCAUGUUAUAAUGGCCAGAAAAUAUAGAGAACAAUCGAGUGCCUAUAGGAGGAGGAAGCUAAAUCAAUCAGUCUACAGAAGAGCGGAGGAAACUUCAAGCUUUGUCUGCAGAGAUCCAGGCACAAGAGCAGAACCACCACAAUACUGUCUCAGUAUCCCAAACGCUGGAGGACUAAGCAAUCUAUCUCCUUACCCGAUUGGAACCUUUCAUAGUGGGGUUGAUUAUGGCUUAAAUGGAUCACCCCACAUGACCAGUGGGGAAGAAGCAGUCUCAAGCAUCCCGGUCCAUGUCCCUCUCCCAUGGUUUUGUGCACAGCAGACACCUUUUGAUUUCUUCCUUGGUCCCAAGAGCAAUGACAUGAUAGGCAUGUUCAGCCACAACAGAUCUUGGGAUAGGCCAAGUGAUGAACCCCAUAUUUCUGGUUUCUAUCCCCAACUCCACAAUCCAUACAUCACGGCAAUGCAACAGUCAAACUACCAAAACCCUUAUUAUUUCUCUGCAGAUUCCACAGCAUCAACACCACCUAAAGUUUCAGCAACUGAACCUUCUCCUUCACCUUCAUCAUCAGUGGCAGAGAACACAAGAACCGGCCAUCUCGAGACCAUUCCACCACCAUUCAUUGACUUUCUUGGAGUAGGAGCCACAUGAAGGGUUGCCAGCGAAAGAAAAGCUGAAAAGGGUUUAUUUUUCUUUUCACAGAAGAUCAUCAGAGAGGACCUUAAAGUGGAUGUGCUUCAAAGUUAACCGAGGGGCCAUUAGAGGUAAAAAGAGAAGACAUGAUUUUUAUUUGUUUGGUUGGGUGACGGUAUUUAGCAUCAGUCUGUUGAUGUCAUGUCUCCCCAUCUUGUUUCUUGUAAGUUGUUGCAACGCUAUUUCCUCUCAUGAGACCCUUUCGAAAGGGG
rnacentral:misc_RNA from 1 species